CCUAGCAAAAAAAAAUGCAAGGUUGAAAGAUGGUUUCGGCUAUCACUUUAGGAUGGACCCGCGGUGCAUUAGUUAGUUGGUGAGGUAAAGGCUCACCAAGACCGUGAUGCAUAGCCGACCUGAGAGGGUAAUCGGCCACACUGGGACUGAGACACGGCCCAGACUCCUACGGGAGGCAGCAGUAGGGAAUCUUCCACAAUGGACGAAAGUCUGAUGGAGCAACGCCGCGUGAGUGAAGAAGGUUUUCGGAUCGUA
rnacentral:rRNA from 1 species